rnacentral:sRNA from 1 species
UACUAUUUUUAUUAAAAUUCUGAUCCUUAUAACAAAAUUUUCUAGCUCCGCCACUGCACGGGAUGUUACAUCGAAUUGAAUUUUUGGCGUAGAGCAUCUGCACAAGUAUUCUGCUCACGAUGUUUGAAAACAAAACUUUGGUGACUUGAAACUUCGCGUCCAUCCACUUAUCGUAGUUAGAUAGUGUUGCAGUCGUGGUGAUGAUCCAUUGUUGUUUUUGAGACUAAUUCGGUUUUUUAUAUAUAGAAGGAUUUAACUUCUGUUUUUUGUUGGUUAAAAAUAUAAUAA